GCUAUCACUUAUAGAUGGACCUGCGCCGUAUUAGCUAGUUGGUAAGGUAACGGCUUACCAAGGCAACGAUACGUAGCCGACCUGAGAGGGUGAUCGGCCACACUGGAACUGAGACACGGUCCAGACUCCUACGGGAGGCAGCAGUAGGGAAUCUUCCGCAAUGGGCGAAAGCCUGACGGAGCAACGCCGCGUGAGUGAUGAAGGUCUUCGGAUCGUAAAACUCUGUUAUUAGGGAAGAACAAACGUGUAAGUAACUGUGCACGUCUUGACGGUACCUAAUCAGAAAGCCACGGCUAACUACGUGCCAGCAGCCGCGGUAAUACGUAGGUGGCAAGCGUUAUCCGGAAUUAUUGGGCGUAAAGCGCGCGUAGGCGGUUUUUUAAGUCUGAUGUGAAAGCCCACGGCUCAACCGUGGAGGGUCAUUGGAAACUGGAAAACUUGAGUGCAGAAGAGGAAAGUGGAAUUCCAUGUGUAGCGGUGAAAUGCGCAGAGAUAUGGAGGAACACCAGUGGCGAAGGCGACUUUCUGGUCUGUAACUGACGCUGAUGUGCGAAAGCGUGGGGAUCAAACAGGAUUAGAUACCCUGGUAGUCCACGCCGUAAACGAUGAGUGCUAAGUGUUAGGGGGUUUCCGCCCCUUAGUGCUGCAGCUAACGCAUU
rnacentral:rRNA from 1 species